UGUCAAGCUACGAAGGGCUCACGGU
rnacentral:rRNA from 1 species